AAGCCAAAUUAAGGUGAAACCGCGAAAGGCUCAUUAAAUCAGUUAUGGUUCCUUAGAUCUUACCACUUUUCACUUGGAUACCUGUGGUAAUUCUAGAGCUAAUACAUGCAAACAGAGCUCCGACCGGAGACGGGAGGAGUGCUUUUAUUAGAACAAAACCAAUCGGCGGCCGGCCUCGCGCCGUUCGUCGUACAACUUGGUGAAUCUGAAUAACUUAGCUGAUCGCGCACGGUCUCGCACCGGCGACGCAUCUUUCAAAUGUCUGCCUUAUCAACUGUCGAUGGUAGGUUCUGCGCCUACCAUGGUUGUAACGGGUAACGGGGAAUCAGGGUUCGAUUCCGGAGAGGGAGCCUGAGAAACGGCUACCACAUCCAAGGAAGGCAGCAGGCGCGCAAAUUACCCACUCCCGGCACGGGGAGGUAGUGACGAAAAAUAACGAUACGGGACUCAUCCGAGGCCCCGUAAUCGGAAUGAGUACACUUUAAAUCCUUUAACAAGGAUCAAUUGGAGGGCAAGUCUGGUGCCAGCAGCCGCGGUAACUCCAGCUCCAAUAGCGUAUAUUAAAGUUGUUGCGGUUAAAAAGCUCGUAGUCGAAUCUGUGUCCCGCGCCGCCGGUUCAUCGCUCGCGGUGUUCAACUGGCGUGCCCGCGGGACGUCCUGCCGGUGAGCUCAGCCCGCGAGGGCGGCUCAACUUGAAAUCCCAUCGCGGUGCUCUUCACUGAGUGUCGAGGUGGGCCGGCACGAUUACUUUUGAACAAAUUAGAGUGCUUAAAGCAGGCUAAAACUUUGCCUGAAUACUGUGUAUAUGGAAUAAUGGAAUAGGACCUCGGUUCUAUUUUGUUGGCUUUCGGAACCCCGAGGUAAUGAUUAAUAGGAACGGAUGGGGGCAUUCGUAUUGCGACGUUAGAGGUGAAAUUCUUGGAUCGUCGCAAGACGGACUAAAGCGAAAGCAUUUGCCAAAAACGCUUUCAUUGAUCAAGAACGAAAGUUAGAGGUUCGAAGGCGAUCAGAUACCGCCCUAGUUCUAACCAUAAACUAUGCCAGCUAGCGAUCCGCCGACGUCCCUCUGAUGACUCGGCGGGCAGCUUCCGGGAAACCAAAGCUUUUGGGUUCCGGGGGAAGUAUGGUUGCAAAGCUGAAACUUAAAGGAAUUGACGGAAGGGCACCACCAGGAGUGGAGCCUGCGGCUUAAUUUGACUCAACACGGGACACCUCACCAGGCCCGGACACUGGAAGGAUUGACAGAUUGAGAGCUCUUUCUUGAUUCAGUGGGUGGUGGUGCAUGGCCGUUCUUAGUCGGUGGAGCGAUUUGUCAGGUUAAUUCCGAUAC
rnacentral:rRNA from 1 species